rnacentral:piRNA from 1 species
UGGAUUUCUUUUCUCCUGUGAAUAAUUUUC